CGUUAGCGGCGGACGGGUGAGUAACACGUGGAUAACCUACCUAUAAGACUGGGAUAACUUCGGGAAACCGGAGCUAAUACCGGAUAAUAUAUUGAACCGCAUGGUUCAAUAGUGAAAGACGGUUUUGCCGUCACUUAUAGAUGGAUCCGCGCCGCAUUAGCUAGUUGGUAAGGUAACGGCUUACCAAGGCAACGAUGCGUAGCCGACCUUAGAGGGUGAUCGGCCACACUGGAACUGAGACACGGUCCAG
rnacentral:rRNA from 1 species